UACGAAGGGUGCUAGCGUUGUUCGGAAUCACUGGGCGUAAAGCGUGCGUAGGCGGCUUUACAAGUCAGGGGUGAAAUGCCAAGGCUUAACCUUGGAACUGCCUUUGAAACUGUAAAGCUGGAGUGUCGGAGGGGAUAGCGGAAUUUCUAAUGUAGCGGUGAAAUGCGUAGAUAUUAGAAGGAACACCGGUGGCGAAGGCGGCUAUCUGGACGACAACUGACGCUGAGGCACGAAAGCGUGGGGAGCAAACAGG
rnacentral:rRNA from 1 species